AAAUCUUACUAAAUUUAAAUUGCAAAUUUAAAUACGAUUAUACAUUAAUCUAAGAUUUA
rnacentral:tRNA from 1 species